rnacentral:rRNA from 1 species
CACCCGGCCUGCGGCGGAAUGUUGCGUAAAGGGAAAGGUCGUAGUCAAACCCUUCAGCCACGCGAGCGCUAAGUCAGCCACGAAUAGGCUAUCCCAACUAACGGAGGGAAAGACUCCACGGAGGGUGCAAGACCCGUGUGGGCGCGUGCCAAUGCUGAAUGGGGUCGACCUGUUUUCCCUGAGAGUCGCGUUGCUUUGGCAUGCAGCGCUAAGCAGGUCGUAAACUCGAUCUAAGGCUAAAUACAUCCNCNGGACCGAUAGCGAACAAGUACCGUGAGGGAAAGUUGAAAAGCACUCUGAAGAGAGAGUCAAAAGACCGUGAAACCGCUCAGAGUAUAAGCCCAUGGCGCUUGGAAGGCAUUCCGCCGUGGUGUUCGGCGCACCCUCGGGUGCGCCUGCGGUCUAGUGGCGUGGUUCGUCAGGUAGGGUGGUUGGCCAACUGAGUUUGUCAUCCCGCCCGCCGACGUGCGGAGAGCAGCCGAGGUACUUGUGAGGAGCGUCCGAAUUCGUCCGGGGGCUCGUGCGCGCUCCCUGCUCUUCGUGCGCGGACGUUCAAGGCUUUCUAGACCAUGGCGGCAUUGCCCACCACGGCUCGUUGUGAGGUCACCCGCAGGCUCAAAAAUCUGCCGAUCGCGCUGUUCUCCUGCUCUCUGCGUUGCACCGCUGUGUGUCGAACACCCAGAGCCCCACUUGUGCUGGCGAAAACGCACCCUUCUCGGUGUCGACAGCGACGGGGGCUCGUGACACGUGCUGCAGCAGGCUCUCCAAUGAACCGGGCGGCAAAGAAAAGAGUUAAAAAAAUCCUGGUAUGAUCCUCCUGCGACGAGCCGCUUUNUGGCCUGAACGACACCGGGCCAAGCUCAUGUGCCGAGCGAGGUUCCACUUCCAGGCGGUCUGGCCCUCUGAUCGAUUCCUCUUCGUUGAGGGGACGAUCACGGUCCUCCCAGCCGGUGUCGAUCUGCGUGGUGUUAAGUCCAGGACCAUCGGUCACGUCUCGAAACACGGGCCAAGGAGUAUAGCAUGUGUGCAAGUCUAAGGGUCUCACAAAACCCGAAGGCGAAAUGAAAGCAAGGCUGUGGCGGGUGCGCCUCGGCAAACCCGUCUGCCGGUGUCGGUUGGUCGUCCCGCGCUGGUGCUUCUGUGCCUCGUGGGCGGCGCCGCCUGGCAAAUGACAGAGCUGAUCCUGCUGUGACGGAUAAGUCCUGAGGCAGGCGCAAGCUCCGGGCUCGCUCACAAAUAACACUGGUCGUCGUCGUCGUCGUCGUCGCUUGCGGCGGCGGAGGCGGCGGCGGCUGUGUUGCGAGCNCCGUGUAGCAUGCAUGCUAUGACCCGAAAGAUAGUGAACUAUGCCUGGCGAGGGCGAAGCCCCAGGAAACUGGGGUGGAGGCCCGUAGC